ACUGCUCAGUAACACGUGGAUAACCUACCCUAAGGAAGGGGAUAACCUCGGGAAACUGAGGAUAAUGCCCUAUAGGUUACAGACGCUGGAAUGCCCUGUAACCGAAAGUUCCGGCGCCUUAGGAUGGAUCUGCGGCCGAUUAGGUUGUUGUUGGGGUAACGGCCCAACAAGCCGAUAAUCGGUACGGGUUGUGGGAGCAAGAGCCCGGAGUUGGAUUCUGAGACAUGAAUCCAGGCCCUACGGGGCGCAGCAGGCGCGAAAACUUUACAAUGCGGGAAACCGUGAUAAGGGAACCCCGAGUGCCUGUAUAUGCAGGCUGUCCAGGUGUCUAAAAAACACCUGAAGAAAGGGCCGGGCAAGACCGGUGCCAGCCGCCGCGGUAAUACCGGCGGCUCGAGUGGUGGCCACUUUUAUUGGGCUUAAAGCGUUCGUAGCUGGGUUGUUAAGUCUCUUGGGAAAUCUGACGGCUCAACCGUCAGGCGUCCAAGGGAUACUGGCAAUCUUGGAACCGGGAGAGGUGAGGGGUACUUCGGGGGUAGGAGUGAAAUCCUGUAAUCCUCGAGGGACCACCUGUGGCGAAGGCGCCUCACCAGAACGGCUUCGACAGUGAGGGACGAAAGCUGGGGGAGCAAACCGGAUUAGAUACCCGGGUAGUCCCAGCCGUAAACGAUGCGCGUUAGGUGUAUCGGUGACCACGAGUCACCGAGGUGCCGAAGGGAAACCGUGAAACGUGCCGCCUGGGAAGUACGGUCGCAAGGCUGAAACUUAAAGGAAUUGGCGGGGGAGCAC
rnacentral:rRNA from 1 species